GGCGGUCAGGCCGCUCCCGUGCACGCGAAGGGCAAAAGCGUUUUUAGCCUCCGCGAGUGUGCAAGGAACGAACCCGUGCCGCGGUGAGUCUCGCUAACCUUCAAGGGACACGGCUGCAAGAAGGACCGUGACGCCUCAAC
rnacentral:rRNA from 1 species